rnacentral:rRNA from 1 species
AGUGAACGCUGGCGGCAGGCCUAAUACAUGCAAGUCGAACGGCAGCACAGUGGAGCUUGCUCCAUGGGUGGCGAGUGGCGGACGGGUGAGGAAUACAUGGGAAUCUGCCCAGUCGUGGGGAUAACGUAUGGAAACGUACGCUAAUACCGCAUGCGCCCUUCGGGGGAAAGUCGGGGACCGCAAGGCCUGACGCGAUUGGAUGAGCCCAUGUUCGAUUAGCUAGUUGGCGGGGUAACGGCCCACCAAGGCGACGAUCGAUAGCUGGUCUGAGAGGAUGAUCAGCCACACUGGAACUGAGACACGGUCCAGACUCCUACGGGAGGCAGCAGU